UACGUAGGGUGCGAGCGUUGUCCGGAUUUAUUGGGCGUAAAGAGCUCGUAGGCGGUUCGGUAAGUCGGAUGUGAAAUCUCCAGGCUCAACCUGGAGGGGUCAUUCGAUACUGCCGUGACUAGAGGUCGGUAGGGGAGUGUGGAAUUCCUGGUGGAGCGGUGAAAUGCGCAGAUAUCAGGAGGAACACCCGUAGCGAAGGCGGCACUCUGGGCCGAUACUGACACUGAGGAGCGAAAGCGUGGGGAGCGAACAGG
rnacentral:rRNA from 1 species